AUGCCCGGCAAGAGAGGCGCAACCCUGCUUGAGGACCUGCCCGAGGAAAUCGUUGACAAGAUACUCAUCAGGUUGCCGCCCAAAGACGUCGGCCGCUGCCGUGCCGUCAGCAAGUCAUGGCGCAGCGCGACAUCCACGCCUGCAUUCAUGCUCGAGCACCGCCGCUGCCAGCCGUUGCUCCCCAUUGUCGACGGGCAAGGGCGGCCGGCCAGCCUCGUCGUUCUCCGUGAUGCCGGUGCCGUGAAAGCCCUCCACCAGCAGCAGCUCUGGCCUUUCCUCCCGGGCUACAAGCCACUUUCCCAAAAUCGCCUCAGAGGCGCUUGUGAUGGCUUCCUUGUCGUCUCUCAGGGAUACAAGUUCUACAUCUGCAACCCCGUCAUCCGCAAGUGUGCUCUCCUGCCGCGGCCUGAGAGGGAGUACAACACCAUAGUCGGUUUCUACUGCCACCAUUCAACUGAAGAGUAUAGGGUGCUCUGGGUCUCACGCCCAGACCACUUGUCUAACUCCAGCUUAUACGUCCUCACGGUGGGAUCUGACAGGCCGAGGCAAAUCAGUGUCGGAAUGUCAACACUCUCAUCACCUUCAGCGGAACAGGAUUUACUGAGCAAGCUGCUGUACUCUUCACCACCAGUCCACCACCAUGGCAGCCUGCACUGGGGUCUUUUCAGUUACGGCAACAUUACGGGAGGCGGCGUAAACAUUAUUGUGUUUGACACAGAAGCGGAGUCAUUUCGGUGGAUGCACGGUUCCAUCCAUUCCCAGCCAUACUGUAACUGGAAGCUGUUCGACAUGGAGGAGACGCUUGCUUUCUGGUGCAGCUCGAGUGAAAGGUCUUCUAUGGAUGUCUGGGUGAUGCAGGAUUACAAGGCUGAAAUCUGGGCUUUCAAGUACCGGAUUGACCUGUCAAUGGUAGAGGCAUCAAGACAACUUUAUCUAACUUCUUUCAAAAAGAAAAAGAGAAGACCACUUGAUUCAACAGUGCAGUAUUUGGACAAUAUGGUUGUGCUAAACGAGCGUGAGCUGCUGAUCGCGUUUAAUAUGAAAAAUGUGUUGCGCUGGGAUAUUGAUGGCAAGUUCUUAGGUAUUGUGAGCAUUGGAAAGAGUCAGUACUGCAUGUCGCUUACGCACCACCGCCUCCAAGAGAGCAUUGUUCCGAUUCCAGGCCAUGAUAUGAUGCAAGAAGAAUAUGAGGAGCAUCCAUUCUCCACAGGGCAUGCCUGA
rnacentral:rRNA from 1 species